ensembl:lncRNA
GGGAAAGGGUCUGCACCAGAGGGUGGGCAUGGAACGGGCUGCCCAGGGCAGUGGGCAUGGCCCAAAGCUGCUGGAGUUCAAGGAGUGUUUGGACAACGCUCUCAGACACAGGGUUUGAUUUUGCGUUGUCCUGCGUGGAGCUGGAUUUCAUGACCCUACAGGGUCCCUUCCAACUUGGGAUAUUCUAUGAUACUAUGGUUUGUCUAAUUUUCCCAUCUGCUCUUCAGAUCCCUAUUAAGAAUAACAAACAAUCUUGUGGCUCACCUCCUGUAGGCACUGCUCUGCCAGGUUCAAACCGGACUAUCUCCUUGCUACCUUGGUUGGCACAGAAAUGUUGUAUGAAAGUUUGCUUUGCCUACUGUGUGCUUUCCUUAUUUGAGGCAAUGCAUUUCCACAAGACAUUGGAGGCACCAGUGCUGCUCCGCUGGGCAGAGGCCCAUCCUUUCAUGGCUGGCAGGAAUGACAAAAGAAGUGAGGAGUCCUUCCCCUUGUGAACACCAGGAGGUGGCGGCUGCUGAGAGGAAAGCCCAUUCAUGAUACUGAACCUGCUUCAGUAACUGAUACACGGGAUACUGAACCUGCUUCCACUGCUGUUCCACCUUCAUGACGUCAGCCCUGGGUCUGCCACGUUCUUCACCAAUGAAGCACAUCCUUACCGUGGUCCAAUGAAGCACAUCCUUACUGUGGUCCUGGAGGGAAGAGGG